CCAUUACUGAUGAGUCUUAUAAUAGGACGAAACGAUCGUCCAGUGC
rfam:Schistosoma mattheei strain Denwood, Zambia genome assembly, scaffold: SMTD_scaffold0007371